rnacentral:rRNA from 1 species
AGCAGCCGCGGUAAUUCCAGCUCCAAUAGCGUAUAUUAAAGUUGUUGCAGUUAAAAAGCUCGUAGUUGAAUUUCGGGGUUCCACCGUUGGUCAGGCUAUUGUCUGUACUGGUGUGUAGAAUUUCUACCUUCUGGGGAACUAUCAUGUUAUUAAUUUAGCGUGGUAGGAAACCAGGACCUUUACCUUGAAAAAAUUAGAGUGUUCAAAGCAGGCUUAUGUCUGAAUACAUUAGCAUGGAAUAAUAAAAUAGGACGGUGGUCCUGUUUUGUUGGUUUCUGAAUCACCGUAAUGAUUAAUAGGGAUAGUUGGGGGCAUUAGUAUUCAAUUGUCAGAGGUGAAAUUCUUGGAUUUAUUGAAGACUAACUACUGCGAAAGCAUUUGCCAAGGAUGUUUUCAUUAAUCAAGAACGAAAGUUAGGGGAUCGAAGACGAUCAGAUACCGUCGUAGUCUUAACCAUAAACUAUGCCGACUAGGGAUCGGACGAUGUUAACUUUUCUUGACUCGUUCGGCGCCUUACGGG